rnacentral:tRNA from 1 species
GUGUGGUGCAGUGGUUAGAGUGCUGGGCUAGAACCUGAGAGACCAGGGUUCAAAUCUCCACUUAGCCA